CAUCAUUCUUUCUAAUGGUGUUUAAAUCAUUUGUUCAUCAAUACUGCUUUAUAUCCAAAAUCACACCUGACGAAGACGUUAUUGUCAUGGCUGAUGAAUUUUGGAGGCAAUUUUAUGGGAAAAUUUUCAAAGGUGGUCAAUCAACUCUUUAUUUAGGAGAUAGAUUUUGGAACGUUAAGAUGGACGGAUUAACUGACAGCUGUGUUUUUACUCAUAGAUGUUCUGAGAUGGUAAACGAUCUUGCCUUAGACAGGCGAUCUAUCUUUGUCUUUUCAAUGGUUGGAAAUAAAAUUUUCGAGCUUUCAGUCUUUAAUCAUCAAACCAGUACUCAAAUUCACCCGCGAACUUCGCGGGUCUGAAAAUUUAAUCUGCAUUUGAAAACGCCUCAAUCUUAAGCUUCAAGAUCUCGAAGAUGUUGAGGUUGAUUUAACUCUUUGGGAUGAUUAUGCGAAGGACAUGUGUUCGUACAUGCUUAGUCAAGAUCUUGAAGCCCAUGUUGUCAAAUCUGUUCAUUUUGGUGUUGUUAAAACCUAAAAAGGUAUCU